rnacentral:rRNA from 1 species
UUGAACGCUGGCGGCAGGCUUAACACAUGCAAGUCGAGCGGGGAAGGGUAGCUUGCUACCUGACCUAGCGGCGGACGGGUGAGUAAUGCUUAGGAAUCUGCCUAUUAGUGGGGGACAACAUCUCGAGAGGGAUGCUAAUACCGCAUACGUCCUACGGGAGAAAGCAGGGGACCUUCGGGCCUUGCGCUAAUAGAUGAGCCUAAGUCGGAUUAGCUAGUUGGUGGGGUAAAGGCCUACCAAGCCGACGAUCUGUAGCGGGUCUAGGAGGAUGAUCCGCCACAUGGGACCGAGAAACAGCCCCGGACUCCUCGGGGAGGAGCCAGGGGGAAUAUUGGACAAUGGGGGGAACCCUGAUCCAGCCAUGCCGCGUGUGUGAAGAAGGCCUUUUGGUUGUAAAGCACGUUAAGCGAGGAGGAGGCUACCGAGAUUAAUACUCUUGGAUAGUGGACGUUACUCGCAGAAUAAGCACCGGCUAACUCUGUG